CACACCGCCCGUCGCUACUACCGAUUGAAUGGCUCAGUGAGGCUUCCGGACUGGCCCAGAGAGGUCGGCAACGACCACUCAGGGCCGGAAAGUUAUCCAAACUCGGUCAUUUAGAGGAAGUAAAAGUCGUAACAAGGUCUCCGUUGGUGAACCAGCGGAGGGAUCAUU
rnacentral:rRNA from 1 species